rnacentral:lncRNA from 1 species
GGUAGAACUUGUCCUUGUCACCUCAAUAGUUCACUAUUGGUAAUUUAAUGAGCCUGUUUGUCGGUUUCUUUCAGGAUAAAAAGACCCAGAAGAUCGUGGGGAAGGAUGUGAAGUGGUUCAUCUUCGGCAGUCUGGUUGAAGUUGAAGGUGGAGGGACUAGAGACAGAGUCAAGUGAACCACCCAAGCCCUCUGAGUAGCCAGAAGAGGCCCAUUGGCAUCUGAUCAUUCAUCAUCAGAAGGGAGAGGUUGCUCUUCAGAGAGCUCAGCUUCUGCAGAGUCAGCUUGACCCACUGGCAGAGCUGCCCAGCUGUGGCCAACAGAUGGCUGAACUGGAGUCAGUACAGCUCUUGCCCACUUCCUACGAUCCCGGGGUCCUGGAAGGGAGGCUGCGUGUCAGCCUGUGAGUGUCCUUGGCAUCAAGUGAUGGAAAAGCACUUUGAAAAAUGAUUGACGGAUUUAGAGUGUAUGUGUGCAUGUGCGUGGAGGUCAGGGAAUUUUCUGGGUUUGUCCUCUCCCUCUACCAUAUGAGGCUUGGGGAUUGAACUCCAGUUGUCACUCUUGGCAGCAAUCACUUUUACCCACUGAUCCAUCUUGUCAUCCCUGGAAAAACAUAUCUUAACAGAAGGAGC